rnacentral:rRNA from 1 species
GGGUUAUAGGACCGGCGCCACGAAGAACUGAAAGCUAGCCGAACCGACUGGAAAGUCGGGCCGCAGCGGGUGACAGCCCCGUAGGCGAAAGCGUUCAGCGAUUCCAGCCGGCACCUGAGUAACCCGGAGCACGAGGAAUUCCGGGCGAAUUGGCGGGGACCAUCCCGUAAGGCUAAAUACUAACGAGAGACCGAUAGCGAACCAGUACCGUGAGGGAAAGGUGAAAAGAACCUCGAACAGAGGAGUGCAACAGACCCUGAAACCAUAUGCCUACAAGCGGUCGGAGCGGCUCAGUGCCGUGACGGCGUGCCUUUUGCAUAAUGAACCUACGAGUCACCGUCGUUGGCAAGGUUAAGGACAAUGAUGUCCGGAGCCGAAGCGAAAGCGAGUCCGAAGAGGGCGCCGGAGUCAGCGGAGGUGGACGCGAAACCAAGUGAUCUACCCUUGGGCAGGUUGAAGGACAGGUAAAACUGUCUGGAGGACCGAACCGGUAAGCGUUGAAAAGCUUUCGGAUGACCUGAGGGUAGGAGUGAAAGGCCAAUCAAACUUGGAGAUAGCUCGUACUCCCCGAAAUGUAUUUAGGUGCAGCCUCGGAGAGAAUCUGACGGAGGUAGAGCGACUGAUAGGAUGCGAGGGCUUCACCGCCUAUCAAGUCCUGACAAACUCCGAAUGCCGUCAGACAUAUCCGGGAGUAAGGGCGCGGGUGCUAAGGUCCGCGUCCGAGAGAGGAACAACUCAGACCAUCGGCUAAGGUCCCGAAAUCCGGGCUAAGUUGAAGACAAUAACGAGGUGGGAUUGCAUAGACAGCUAGGAUGUUGGCUUGGAAGCAGCCAUUCAUUUAAAGAGUGCGUAACAGCUCACUAGUCGAGUGAUCCCGCAUGGAUAAUAAUCGGGCAUAAGUCCGUUGCCGAAGCCGUGGAAUCAGUCAUCAGACUGAUUGGUAGGGGAGCAUUCCGGUAUCCGCAGAAGGUUAGGCGCGAGCCUUGCUGGAGGUUCCGGAAAAGCAAAUGUAGGGAUAAGUAACGAUAAGGAGGGCGAGAAACCCUCCCGCCGUAAGACCAAGGGUUCCUGAUCAACGCUAAUCGGAUCAGGGUAAGUCGGGACCUAAGGCGUAGCCGUAAGGCGCAGCCGAUGGCCAUAGGGUAAAUACUCCCUAACCCUUCUUAUGAGCGAAGACGGCGACGGAGAAGUGACACAUCCGCGCACUGACGGAAUAGUGCGUUGAACCGCGUAGGUAUACCCUGGAAAGGAAAGUACGUCCGGGGUGCUGAAACGGGACAGUACGGAGCGGACUGCGGUCCAAUCCGAGUGAUGGUAACCAUGCUCCCAAGAAAACCCGCUAAGCAUAUCAUAAGAAGGCCCGUACCGUAAACCGACACAGGUGGUCGGGUAGAAUAUACCAAGGCGCUCGAGAGAUUCACGGUUAAGGAACUAGGCAAAUUGACCCCGUAACUUCGGGAUAAGGGGUCCCGACGGCAACGUCGGGCGCAGAGAAUAGGUCCAGGCAACUGUUUAACAAAAACACAGGGCUGUGCGAAAUUGAAAGACCAAGCAUACAGCCUGACACCUGCCCGGUGCCGGAAGGUUAAGAGGAGAUGUCAUCGCAAGAGAAGCAUUGAAUUGAAGCCCCGGUAAACGGCGGCCGUAACUAUAACGGUCCUAAGGUAGCGAAAUUCCUUGUCGGGUAAGUUC